rnacentral:rRNA from 1 species
AUACGUAGGUCCCAAGCGUUGCGCGAUCUCACUGGGCGUAAAGCGUCCCCAGCCGGUCCGGUAAGCGGAUUGUCAAAACCCGCGGCUCAACCGCGGUAGGGCAACCCGAACUGCCGGACUUGAGGCAAGCCCAGGCAGGCGGAAUUCCCGGUGUAGCGGUGAAAUGCGUAGAUAUCUGGAGGAACACCAAAGGGGAAGCCAGCCUGCUGGGGCUGCCCUGACGGUCACGGACGAAAGCUGGGGGAGCAAACCGGAUUAGAAACCCUAGUAGUCC